AUACGUAGGGGGCGAGCGUUGUCCGGAAUGAUUGGGAGUAAAGGGCGCGUAGGCGGCUUUGCAAGUCAGUAGUGGAAGUCCAUUUUUCAAGGAUGGAAGUGCUACAGAAACUGCGGAGCUUGAGUGCAGGAGAGGUUAUCGGAAUUCCCGGUGUAGCGGUGAAAUGCGUAGAGAUCGGGAGGAACACCAGUGGCGAAGGCGGGUAACUGGACUGCAACUGACGCUGAGGCGCGAAAGUGUGGGGAGCAAACAGGAUUAGAUUCCCUGGUAGUCCACACUGUAAACGAUGAAUGCUAGGUGUAGGAGGUAUCGACCCCUUCUGUGCCGCAGUAAACACAGUAAGCAUUCCGCCUGGGGAGUACGGUCGCAAGAUUAAAACUCAAAGGAAUUGACGGGG
rnacentral:rRNA from 1 species